rnacentral:rRNA from 1 species
ACGAACGCUGGCGGCGUGCUUAACACAUGCAAGUCGAACGAAGCUUGAUUACGGAUUCUUCGGAUGAAGUAUGAUAUGACUGAGUGGCGGACGGGUGAGUAACGCGUGAGUAACCUGCCCUUCAGAGGGGGAUAGCGUUUGGAAACGAACGGUAAUACCGCAUAAUGUAUUUUGACCGCAUGAUCGAAAUACCAAAGAUUUAUCGCUGAAGGAUGGACUCGCGUCUGAUUAGGUAGUUGGUGGGGUAACGGCCUACCAAGCCGACGAUCAGUAGCCGGACUGAGAGGUUGAUCGGCCACAUUGGGACUGAGACACGGCCCAGACUCCUACGGGAGGCAGCAGUGGGGAAUAUUGCACAAUGGGCGCAAGCCUGAUGCAGCAACGCCGCGUGAAGGAAGACGGUUUUCGGAUUGUAAACUUCUGUUCUUAGUGAAGAAUAAUGACGGUAGCUAAGGAGCAAGCCACGGCUAACUACGUGCCAGCAGCCGCGGUAAUACGUAGGUGGCAAGCGUUGUCCGGAAUUACUGGGUGUAAAGGGAGCGCAGGCGGGUGAUCAAGUCAGCUGUGAAAACUACGGGCUUAACCCGUAGACUGCAGUUGAAACUGUUCAUCUUGAGUGAAGUAGAGGUUGGCGGAAUUCCGAGUGUAGCGGUGAAAUGCGUAGAUAUUCGGAGGAACACCGGUGGCGAAGGCGGCCAACUGGGCUUUAACUGACGCUGAGGCUCGAAAGUGUGGGGAGCAAACAGGAUUAGAUACCCUGGUAGUCCACACUGUAAACGAUGAUUGCUAGGUGUGGGGGGUCUGACCCCUUCCGUGCCGGAGCUAACGCAAUAAGCAAUCCACCUGGGGAGUACGACCGCAAGGUUGAAACUCAAAGGAAUUGACGGGGACCCGCACAAGCAGUGGAUUAUGUGGUUUAAUUCGAAGCAACGCGAAGAACCUUACCAAGACUUGACAUAUACGGGAAUACUUAAGAAAUUAAGUAGUCUUUCGGGACUCGUAUACAGGUGAUGCAUGGUUGUCGUCAGCUCGUGCCGUGAGGUGUCGGCUUAAGUGCCAUAACGAGCGCAACCCUUGCUGCCAGUUACUAACAGGUCAUGCUGAGGACUCUGGCAGGACUGCCAUCGUAAGAUGCGAGGAAGGUGGGGAUGACGUCAAAUCAUCAUGCCCUUUAUGACCUGGGCUACACACGUACUACAAUGGCGUUAAACAAAGAGAAGCAAGACCGCGAGGUGGAGCAAAACUUCAAAAAUGGUCUCAGUUCGGACUGCAGGCUGCAACCCGCCUGCACGAAGUUGGAAUUGCUAGUAAUCGUGGAUCAGCAUGCCACGGUGAAUACGUUCCCGGGUCUUGUACACACCGCCCGUCACACCAUGGGAGCCGGUAACACCCGAAGUCAGUAGUCUAACCGCAAGGAGGACGCUGCCGAAGGUGGGAUUGGCGACUGGGGUG